AGCACUAUAUUUAAACCUGUGGAUAGGAAUAUUCCCCAUUCUUGGUUACGCUGUAGUGCAAAAGAAUUCCUGGCUCUCUGCUGCACAGCUGACUUGUGCCAUUCUGCUGUCACUGUAGGGAGUUAAGGAACAUGA
rnacentral:snoRNA from 1 species